AAGGCUAAUUAGGAGCUUUACUCCUACUGAGGCUAUUUUGUGCUCUAAUCUCAAUCUGUACCGUUAUAUAUUUUUCCCUUCUUGAACACCCCUGCUAUCUCAAGCACACCAGUCUGCAUUAAUUUAUUUUUUGUGCGUGUCUUUAGCAGUGAAAUAAUUUGCUCCCUAUUGUUUUAAAAUCUGUGACAGAAUUACUUUGGCAGCAAGGCAGCUCUACAGUGUUUAUUUUGGUCUCUUUCAGCUCUGUAUCUCACCAACUAUAUUGUGUUAUAUAGGAAACUGGGGUAAGAGACUGCAUUUCAGGAUCCUGAAACUCAGAGGAAGUCCAGGCCUUAUUUCUAUUAUAAAUGUACAUAAAAAGUACUGACCAGGAAAGGUUUAUAGAAAUACUUCUGUGGUGAGGUAUUGGGGUGGUUUCUGGUUUUUGCAAAUAGAAUAGGGCCUGAACCAGACUCUGUUUUUCAGAUCUAUUUGAUGUUAGCCUGUUGGAUGAGGGUAAAAGGCUGAGAGUGGUCACCUGGAAGGGAGGAUUCCUCUCUUGGUUUGCAUCAGGAGAGAGGGAGGUGGGUACCAAGCACCACAGCGAAGGCCUGAAAUGGGUCCACAUUUCUUAUCAUGUCUUGUCAUUUCUGGGAAGCAUUUCAGCUGAGAACUUUCUACAUCUUACAUUGAGAGAGAUGUUGAUACUAUAGUGGUUUUUCAGAGUACAGACACACUGGUGAUGUGUAACAUUCCUGGCUGAUCAGUGGCCCUAAGCUAAGAGGUAGUAAUAGAUUUGGUUAUUUGGAAAGAAAGUGUCUCAGUUAAAGAUGUUUCUGCUGAUAUCAGGGAAUGUGCUUAAUCCUACAAGCAAGGGGAGCUUUUGCAAAACAACCAUUAAGACAAGGAGAUUUGGUACUGGGGUGGGCAUGGAGCGCUAAUGAGGGUGAAUCCUUGAACGAGGGAUUUUCUGGAGGAGUUGGCAUCUGGAGCAGCAAGGAGCAGUGUCUGAUGGACUGGAGGGAUCACCUGGUAGGACAGGGGCAACCCACACUGUUCACGGCGUCACUGUGUGGUGGCAGGAGGGCCCAUGAAGCAGAAGCCUGGAGCACAGAGAUCAGGGGACUCAUACCCCAAAACUGGAAAUGAAGAAUUCCUGCCAGCAGGGGAAUAACUAGCUGGUGUAACAAUUGCUGGCUGAAGGAAUUGGAGGAUUGAAUAGUUGCUGCGAUGAUUUAGCACUGCCAGAGUCUUUGGUGCAGAUUUUAUCAUUUGAGUGACCCAGAUGUAAAGAAUUAAAGUGUGACCGGGAGUUCUGUGCACCCCUUGAAGAUCUGUGAAUGCAACACUGAAUGCAUUUAUGUCAUUUAUGAUUAUGAUUUGGUGGAAUCAUUCCCCAUUCCCAUGGGAGUUAGAGCAGGCAGUGAUGGGCAUCACAGCUGCUACUGAAACUGGAAGAAAUAGUCUGCUUCAUCUGAGAGCUUGCUCACUCCUAAGCCUUUCUACAUGUGAGCAAAACCAGGUUCUUCCGCUGUUUCUGAAGGAUUUUCUCUGUAAUCCAGGCAAAGCUGAAGCUUUUCAACAAUAGCUGUUCUUCACCCCAUGGCCCUUCUCACAUGUCUGCAGCUCACUGCAAAAGCCAAGAAGGAAUAUGUGGGAAUUUGUCCAGGGUGAUUUUGUUCCUUUGCCAGUUUGAGCCCUGAGCAGAUGAGCAAAACACAGCUCAUUCCACCUUAAGGUUGUGUGAGUAAUCCUAUAGCAACAGCAAACAAAUACAGUAGGGACAAAAUUCCCUUUGCUGUGAAGUCCUGCUGAAAGCAGAAUGGGAAACAACACGAGAGGAAUAUCUAGCUCCCUGAAAAACAGCUUCAGCCUGUUGGCAACUACUUACUAUCAUCUGCCUGUGGUGGGAUUUGCAUAGAUACCUCUCUCCCAGAGCAUGAAUCUGAGCGAGAGGGAGUUGAUAAUUUCUUUCAGCUGCAUUACUGACAUGCCACUAAUUGUUUCUAAUGGCUGGUUGUGGCUUGUAUUUUUGUGUUUUCUUUGUUUUUUCUUGUUUUUUCUUUUUUUUCUGAAGGCACAAGGCACACAACAUUUGGAGUUCCCUGACUUGGUCUGGGUUUUCUGUCAGGCUUCAGACUUUCUUACCCAAAAAUACCUGGGCAUCAGCUGAAAGGGCACUGUACCUGUAACAGGGUCCUCCAACAAUUUCCUUUGAACUGUUACUGUGCUAACCAGAUCCAGCUGCUGUACACUCAGGGGACUGCAAAGCCAUGCUUUUUUUGUCUUUGGGUUUACCCUUCAGGUGACAUGGAUUGAACUUUCUGUCUGUCUUUUUUUCCUCUCUGUCUCAGCCAUGUAAAUCUCUCAUGCCACCUUUCUUGAGAAUUGUACUGUAACGGAUUUUUAAAAGCAAUCAGAUAACUGAAUAAUCUCUUCUACAUAAAAGAAUGAACUUGAACUAGCUCAUUCUCCUCCCUCUUGGUAAGAAUUGGUAUGAGCAUUUAAAGAUAUUUUACACAUUCUAAAUGUGAAAUGAUGUUUCCUGUGAUUAUAAACAUGAGCAGCUGGUAGUCUUCUUAUUUUCCCCUGUGUUUUUCGAGGGCAGCAGCCUUUGUCUCCUGCAUUCAGGAAGGGAUGCUGACCCCACCUUGGAGAGGGCCAAAGCCAACCCAAAUCAAAGAGAAGCAAAGACUCUUUACAUACUU